CGUACACUCCUGCGGGAGGCAGCAGUGGGGAAUAUUAGACAAUGGGCGCAAGCCUGAUCCAGCCAUGCCGCGUGAGUGAUGAAGGCCCUAGGGUUGUAAAGCUCUUUCACCGGUGAAGAUAAUGACGGUAACCGGAGAAGAAGCCCCGGCUAACUUCGUGCCAGCAGCCGCGGUAAUACGAAGGGGGCUAGCGUUGUUCGGAUUUACUGGGCGUAAAGCGCACGUAGGCGGACUAUUAAGUCAGGGGUGAAAUCCCGGGGCUCAACCCCGGAACUGCCUUUGAUACUGGUAGUCUUGAGUUCGAGAGAGGUGAGUGGAAUUCCGAGUGUAGAGGUGAAAUUCGUAGAUAUUCGGAGGAACACCAGUGGCGAAGGCGGCUCACUGGCUCGAUACUGACGCUGAGGUGCGAAAGCGUGGGGAGCAAACAGGAUUAGAUACCCCGGUAGUCC
rnacentral:rRNA from 1 species